AAGCCCAGCUCCCAUCCCUAGCUCUCUGCAGAGAACUGCUCUGGGCAAGGACUGCAGAGCCAGCUGUCAUCCUGGCAGGUGUAGCCCCAGGUUCCAUAACCCUGACCCAUGGUCUCCCUCUGCUGACAGGCUCUGAAGAAGGCCUGCCCAGAGACAUGGAUGCCAUGCUGAAGAGCUCGCUGGCAGCAACCCCCAGCACAGACAAACUCCAGCACAUCUUGGAGCCUCUCUCACAGAUAUAUCCUGCAGCCAGCCCAGCUCAGGGAGCAGUGAGGACAGGUGAUCUCAUCCUGUCAAACCAAGAAACAUCGGUCUCAUUGAGGCUCAGAUGGAAGAUCCCAUGCAUCUCCUGGAGGCUCCUGGAGACUGUUUCCUGCAGGAGGUUUGAGUGGGGAGAGAUCACUGUCACAAUCCAGGGGUCUUCAACCUGGGUCUGCAGGAUUCAUGGGAGCAGCCACACUCCAACCCUCCACCUGGAAGCCUGCUGAAAAUUGCUUAUCUGAGACCCAUGAAGUUCAGCCUCACUUUGAGGCUCCACUCCUGAGGGCCUGUUGGAGGAAUCCCAGAGAAGCUAAUUGGCCCCCUGGCUCUGCUUAAGACAGCAGCAGGAACAGGAAGCUGACUGAACACACCAGGGCUGCUCCCUGUUCGAGACCAUGUGCUGUCUGUUUCUGCUGCUGCUCCCCUGGCAUCUGAUUUGUCGUUGUGAUUGCAAGUUUGUCUUUUGCUUCUGAUCUUCCAGUAUCCUGAUCCCACUGACUCUCAACUCCGGUCAUGUGAAUGUGGACUCUGACCAGUAGGUCUGGCUUCCCUUGACCCAGCCUUGACAUUGACUUUUUUACAAUUUCUCCAAUGCCCUUUUCUGCUCUCCAGCAAGAUACCAGUACCUUGGUUCCCAAAGUCCUAGUUGCCCGCUAUUCAAGAGCUGAGGGUUAGUGCUUAUAUUGCCCCCACCCCAGCUGCUUUUCCUAUGGGAAUCUCUCUAGAGCAGAGGAGAAAUCUGCUUUUCUGUUAGGAUCGGUCCCAGCAGUAAUUCCACCUACCCUGGCCUCAGGUCAGCUACUUUGUUUACCUAGGAUCAGGGACCACUUUUGAAGCCCUUAGCAUGGGGAUGGAGGUGGGAGCAGAGGCUGAAGCUCCAGCAGUUUCCACCAAAGAACACCACCCUGUCUUUCUAUGGUCUGACUAGGGCUCACCAUCCAUCUUGGAGCUGAACACCAGAUGGGAGCUGAUAGAUUGUCCUUGGUGGGCCAGGUUCUUGUGUGUGAUGGAGUUGUGUGCCAGAGAGGGCCAGGAGAAGAUGUACCACACAUGGCCAGGACCAGGCUAAACAGCCUGUAAUGCUAGGUGAGUCAACCCAUGGCCACGUAUGUGCACCCUGAGCAUCCAUGGGGACUGAAUCUGGGUGCUUCACUGUCAAGAGCACAAUUCACUCCAACUAGAGUCAUUAAGGUAGUGACCCUUGAGGUGGGUCAGUAUUAUCUGUUAGCUGGCACACAGGAAUGGAAAGCAACUGGCUUCAAGGUCACACACAACAUCACUGACAGAGGCAGGAAGGAAGCAUGGUACUGAUACCAGUCCAGCUCCAAUCACUAGAAUCCACCCACUUCCAAAGCCAGAGAACCCAGGAGCCCUGACUCUGACAGCUAGGCUUAAAUGACAAGACCAACCUUCCUCCCACUCAGGAAGCCAUAGAAGGGACCAUCUGAUGAGCUCCCCUUUGCAAUGCCACUGUCAGAAACCAUUGCUAGUGGGUGCCAAGUGAUUGAGCAGGGAACUCCUUGAGAGAUUCCUAGAGACUCGCAGGUGUUUCACUGUGACCCUCUAGGAGCCAUGGAAAGCAUGCUGCAUUGAAGAGACUCUCCUGGUCUCUCAAAGGAUUUGUUUUCUCCUAGAUAGUCAGCCAACCAGUGAGGCCAGUUUGCAGAUUGUGGAAGAGCCGUUUGGCGAUGGGUUGGAGGAUUCACCAUGUAGGUGGCAGCAGCUUCAGUUCCUGGGGUCCGCAUGGGCCAAGCCUCCACUCCUGACACUCCAGGCUAAUCUCCCACUGCUCUCAGUGGGGCUUUGGCUUCAGCUGCUGUGCCCGUGUGCCUAGGUAUGAACUGGAAUGAGAACUAAGUAGGAGGUUCAGAACAACAAGGAAAGCCUAGAGGGGAACUUGAGAAGAGAGGCAGGAAGUGCCCAGGAAAAACUGCAGCAAAGAGAAAGGAGCAGACCUACCUAUUUGGUACAGGGCCCUAGAUUGCUACCAGUGUCAGGGUGGGACUGGGUUCCUCUACUGGCUAGAAAGAAGGGGGCGUACAUGCACCCAGAGAGAGUUACCAAGCCCAGCAAGGGGGCUGCAGGCAGAGUAAGAGCCCCAGUGAGGGCGGAAGGACUUCUUUCUAUGGAAAGACCUCUCUGGACUUUUAGUGAGACAAGCUGGGCCCCGGAAUGGUGGACUAAAGGUGGUGACCUGGACAGAGGCUGAGUUACCAGGCAGAGAAACUUCCAUAGUGCUGGAGCGACCAUCGAUGGGGGACGCUAGCCCACUGAGAGAGCUGUGAUUCCAUGCCUGGAUGCAAGGGGCACAUAAAGAUGAAUAGUUUUGUUCAUGAUUCGUAUUAGUUAGGCAGUGGAUUGGACUGAAGAAUUUAUGGAUCUAAAGGCAGAGGAGGCCUGGGAUUACUUCAAGCCAAAG